AAGAAAAUAAGCAAAAAAGAAUAAGUAACACUGUCACAGGGGUCUGAUUUUUCUUUUUUAUCUUUUUAAAAAAAAUGGCUUUUAUAAUUUAAAACACUCAAGUUAUGGAUAAAGGCAAAAAUGCUAAUAUGAAUUUGUUGUGAUAUCGUGCAGUGGCUGCGGACCCGCGGCAUAGAGAUGUUGGAGUAGGGGUGCCGCGCGGGAGAACUUGACGGCAUUGACAGCAUCGAGUACUCAAAGUGGCUGUUGCCGUGCUAGUGUCGGUGAUAAAUGUUAUGGCUGAGCCGGUGUCGGCGAUAGAUUGGGUUUUGAGAAGAGAAUGGAAGCAAAGAGAAGAUGCGUUCUGUGGCUUAAUCGUGUUUUGAAGAAGAAAAAAUAUUACUCUUUUUUUUUUCCUCUCUUUAUAAGCAAUCACGCGUAAACCCGAUACCCCCCACGGGUUUAGUUAAUGCGGCUUUAACUGUAUAACAACAGUAAUGUUAUGCGGUAUAAUACGAAAUCAGUUUUUAGCCAAACAUAGGGUUGUAUUAAUUUAAUGCUAUGCGGGAUGGUAAUGCUGUGUAAUGCUGGAUGCCAAACGCAUCCUAAAUGACAAAGAGUACAAUUGAGAGUGGCGCGAGACCGCUAAAAUCUAAACCCUUUACUCCACAGCACCUGCUUUUUAAAACGUUACAC
rnacentral:lncRNA from 1 species